AACCUCAGUCUCUUAGCCCUAGAGGCAGCUAUGAGGGGUCAUCUGCUGUUCCCCUUCUAGCCCCAGGCAGAUGAAAAUGUAUGCUAUUUUAAGGCUUUCAGUGAAUGACAUUCCACAACCUUGCCUGUAAAGGAAAAGUGAAAUUGUAUCUUCCCUGUUAUAUAGAAAAUGUUGAUUUCAGGUCACUGACAAGGAACAGGAGUUUGCUGCCAGGGCUGCAAAACAGCUUGAAUAUCAGCAAUUAGAAGACGAUAAACUUUCUCAGAAAUCAUCUAGCAGUAAACUCUCUCGGUCUCCAUUAAAGAUUGUCAAGAAGCCUAAAAGCAUGCAGUGCAAAGUGAUACUUCUAGAUGGAUCAGAAUAUACCUGUGAUGUAGAGAAACGCUCCAGAGGACAAGUGCUGUUUGAUAAAGUGUGUGAACACUUGAACUUGCUAGAGAAAGACUACUUUGGGCUUACAUAUCGAGAUGCUGAAAACCAGAAG
rnacentral:sRNA from 1 species